GAUGAACGCUGGCGGCGUGCCUGAUACAUGCAAGUCGAGCGAACAGACGAGGAGCUUGCUCCUCUGACGUUAGCGGCGGACGGGUGAGUAACACGUGGAUAACCUACCUAUAAGACUGGGAUAACUUCGGGAAACCGGAGCUAAUACCGGAUAAUAUAUUGAACCGCAUGGUUCAAUAGUGAAAGACGGUUUUGCUGUCACUUAUAGAUGGAUCCGCGCCGCAUUAGCUAGUUGGUAAGGUAACGGCUUACCAAGGCGACGAUGCGUAGCCGACCUGAGAGGGUGAUCGGCCACACUGGAACUGAGACACGGUCCAGACUCCUACGGGAGGCAGCAGUAGGGAAUCUUCCGCAAUGGGCGAAAGCCUGACGGAGCAACGCCGCGUGAGUGAUGAAGGUCUUCGGAUCGUAAAACUCUGUUAUUAGGGAAGAACAAAUGUGUAAGUAACUAUGCACGUCUUGACGGUACCUAAUCAGAAAGCCACGGCUAACUACGUG
rnacentral:rRNA from 1 species